ensembl:lncRNA
CUCUAGUGAAAGUCCAUUUUUCCUGCUCCUUUUUGUUAAUCACAGGAUUCCAUUAUACUGACAAUAAUCUACAGUUAUUCGUAUCUGAACACUGAUCCCCAGUGAAGCCGGGAUGGAGUUAAAAUGCUUGGAAUUUGUUCUCUAUAGUGCUGCUUUUCAUGUUGAGCAAAAAUACAGCACUUAUAAUUUGUUCCCCUGUAGUAUUUGUCAUCUUUUUACCGCUCUCUUAAGAGUGUAAUUCCUGCCCAAUAUUUUCUUUUUAAACUACCUCUCAUUUAAAUACACGCUUUGUGUUUUCUUAAAAUAAACGCUGUCAUGCAGCUCUUCUACUUCCUUUAUUGAGAAAACAGUAAUACUCAUACGAUUGUGGAAAAAAAGUUGAGAGGGAGGGAGAGACAGGGAAAGGAAGCAGAAAUCAUAACCAAAAAGUUCACACUGAUUAUUGAAAUAGUCAGUGCUCCCUUGGGCUGUGGGGAAGGGAAAGGCACUUUUACAGUGUUUUGGAACAUUUUUCUUCCUCGGGAUUCUGACUUUUCACCACAUAUUUAUGCUACGUUGAGAGAGGAGAAGAAAAGAAAAAGAACUCAAAGGUUUUACAGUUUCGAAGCAAAUAAAGGGGAGAUGCUGUUGUGGCUGCAGAGGUGAGCUAUGGACAGCUGGUGGAAGAGAAUCAGGCCCCAUGGUAAAGAGGGAAAGGACGGAGCAGCUCUCUUGUCUGCCAGAAGAUGAACAUUGCAGUGGGCAUACCAUGGGGCCAGACCACCAGCAGAGCAUUAAACAAGGACAGAUGUGAAUGCCAGGAUAAAAAUGAAGACAUUCCUGAAGUGCUUACUGAAGCUGUUGAUGAUAGUAUUUCAGAACUUACAAGUUUUCCUGACCCAGCUUUGAGCAGUUUACAGUGUCAUCAUAUUUUCCAUCUGAAAAUCUAGGCAGAAGAGCAUGUUUACAAUAGUUCCGUUAGAAAUAGCUUGAGAAAGUCUUCAGUGGGAGAAACCCAAAAGUAAGUGGGAAAUGAGUUUCUGGCUUGUACUGUUUAAUAUUUUUCCUAUUCUCAUAUUUGAAGAUCUGUUUCAAACCCUCGCUGGCAAUUAAGAUGCUGAUGUCCAAUAGAUGAACCGACUAAACGCAAAAGUUUUACUCAAAUUCUGCUGAACUUUGGAAUGAUAAGGAAAAAAGAAAAAAAGAAUUGAAAGUGAAGUCCAUAUUCAUCCCAUACUUGGGAAAACAACCAAAAUAAAACCUUGCUGUAAACUUUUCUAACAUUUGGAGUGCUUGAAAUAUGUAUCUUAAUUUGAGUCUGCAGUCAAUAUCUGGGCAAAAGAGGAAAUCUAUUGCAUCAUAAAAUUCAUAAAAGUGAUAGUAUAAGCUUGAAACAACUUAUUCAGGAGAAAAUGGUUUGCAAAAGAGGCACAAGUGAAAACAUUUAGAUUUGGCUGAAGUAGAUACAAGCUUGAUCAUUAUAUGUAUACCAUGCAAGUAAAUAGCUUGUGGGUGCGUCUAAAGCCAAUGUGAACCUUUAUGUGGAAAGCAUUGACUAUGUGGGUAUGGAAAAUAGCCCACUUAAACUAUAAUUAUACUGAAUAUGUGCAAAUAAAACCCAAAUAAAGCACCCAAGUAGAAAGCAUAUUUCUUUAACAUUUCUGUGGAUAUGUUCUAUGUUAUUCUCAUGGUUUUAGGGCAGUCGGGAUUAUACUGUAUUCAUAUUAAUAACUUGGAAGUAAACAGUAUACAAAAUAUCUUCUUAAAAUAUACAUUAAAAAAUUACAGUGGAAGAAAAAACAUGUGUAACCAAAGUUAGAUUGGAUCUAAGAGACUGUUACAAUUUCUUGAUUUAGUUUGCUGAGUAGGAGGCUCUGCUGGAAUUACCGACUCUUAAAUAAGUCAGCAAGAUAUUAUUUGAAAGACACUGGUUCAUCAAGAAGUAGUUUCAUUUCACUUAUGACUUUUUGGAAUGGCAUUGCAAUCAAUCAGCUAAGUUUCUGAGCAGUGGCCACUUGGAGUAAUAUGGCUGAAGUCAAGACGUAACUGUGUUUUGAGUGGUUGCAUUCUUGCUUCUCUCUCCUCACAUUCCUCCUGUUGCCAGUGCUUCCAUGGCAGGACAAAAUGAGACCUGGUGGAGUACAUUCUGUCAUGGCUCUGCUCUUAGUGUCUCCUGUGCUGUGGGAAUUCACAUCUGUGGAUAUGGAAGCUUCUAGCUGUCAUACAUAGUAGCCUGAAGGGACAGAAUGAAUUUGUUUGUUAGCUCUAGUAGUGUCAGGGCCUUGCUAGAAUUUACAUGAGCCUCAGCUAAUGAACUUGGUGCAAAAUUGUUGUGUAAUGGAUCAGACCUCUCAGAUGGACUUUGGAGCUGUGAUUUUCCAGGUGAUGCAUGUCUCACAUUGGAUACACACAGACUUAAAGAAAUAACAUUCUUGUGUUAACUGCAGCUCAACGCUGUCAGUCACCAGUUUUAUUCUCUUUCUGCAACAAAACAAUGAUGCACUUGAAUGAUAAAAAAGGUUGACAGUGUGUCUGAGCCUGCUCUCUGUUGAGUGUGAUGACAUCUCUACCAGAACUACAUUUUCCCUUUAUGCUUUCAAAAUCUCCUUGUCUUAAUCCGUAACUUAAAAAAAUAUUUAGCACCACAUAGUGUCUAAGGAUGAACAGUACAGAUGUUUCACACUAGUAUCUAUUUGUCCUAUUUACGUUUUGUAUCAUCAGGUUAACAAAACAGCUUAAAUUGUUUACCAAGAACAAAUUCCGCAUUGGAAUCUUUAAAGUCCGGGUGUCUUCCUUAGACAAGCUCUAUGGGAACCAUUAGGUCAUGGCCUGAAGCAGUUAUUGAGCACCUCGUGAAGGGGCAUAGCUAGCCCUAGGAGCACAGGUGGAAGCAAUUCACCUGUGUGACUAGGAGGGGCGGACCCUUACCUAAUAUAAGGGCUGGCAGCCACAAGAAAAGCAUCUCUAUCUAGAGAUUACCUCCUUAGUAGUGUUUGUUGAGCUCUGGUCCUUGGAAAGGGGUAAGUGUUUUCUUCUUUACCAUCAGUUUGUGACCUUUACCUUUCUUGGAUGAUUUAAAACUUAUCUAAAGCAGCUAUAUCUGCUGUUGCCUAUCCUUACAUAAGCAUAUGGGUGGUACCUUUUCAGAGAACUGCCAAAAUGAAGGCUGGGUAAAAUUUUCUGGCCUGUCCUAAUUCAUAAGUAAAGCUAAGACUCUCCCUAAUAUUCUUUUCCUUUAGCAAUGUUUCUUAUGUUCCACACAAAGCAAAAUGUGGGAAUCAGAGAGAAAUGAAAAAAAAAAAGAACUUAAAUAUGAAUUCAUGAAAAUAAUAGCUCAUAAGAAGAACCUAAAAACUCUGAGUGAGGAUGGCUGGAGCAUGACAGAAACCAGUGAGAUGUGCACAGGAGGUCAGAAAUGCAAAGCAGGUAGCUUUUAUGUUAGCUUUGUAAAUGGAGGGUGGAAAUGGUGAUUACAGUUGUAGGAGGAAAGAAUGUUCUUUUUUUUUUUUUUUUCAUUUAUUGUACUUUCUUCCUUCAAGAUAUAGAAAACAAGUGCUUAGGAGAAAAAAAAUGAAAUGUAGUUGUAACAAAAUGAUUAGGCAAGAAGGGUACUGAAUUCAGUGCAGGGAACUCCAUUCAAUUCUUUGAAGUUAUGCAGACGUCGGGUAACAGUGGUGAAUCAAACCCAAGCAGUGGUGGCUUUGUCAAUGUUGCAGUAUAACAUUUUUGUGUAUUUGGUACUGAUUCCAGAUGGCAAUUAGAUUUUGGAGCAGAGUAAGGGGGCUUCUGCUGGUCCAGCAGAAUCCACCUGAGGGAUUUUAGUGGGAACUUAAUUUUUUUUUUAUGAACUAAGUAUGAAUUCUGGCAGCUAGAGCAACAUACCCAUAUUCUUUGCUAGUAUAAAUUGGCAAAGCUCUGAUGGAGCUAUAGCAACUCAUACCAUCUGAGAUUCUGACCAAUUAUAGUAGAUUUAUACAACAGCCACCUCGUUGUGCCAAAGACUUCAGUAUCUCAGAGGUGGUAAUACUGUUGGCAGACUCAUGGUCAAGAAAAAUGAGGAAGUGAAACUGCAACUUGCAAUGAGGAAUUAUCCCAAAGGUCAGUUUUUGGAAGCAAAAGAAAUUCUUUCUUUUGGAAGGAGGUAUAAGGCAUGGGCCGUAAAAAGACCUCUUCAUCUGAACUCCCUAAUUUGUUUUUGGUCUUUUUUCAAAGGCAAAAAUGCUAGUGUAAAAACUGGUAUCUUCUGUCUCUUUUGAUAUACCUUUCAUUAGUAGGAUAAGAAUGCUAUAUAUAUAGCUAUAGUAUAGUAGUGUAUUAAGCCAAUGUCUUGUGGUUCUUACCUUCUUGUUCUCCCUAGUAAGCUGUACACAGAUUUGCAGAAAGAGACUUCAAAUUUUAUUAUAUGUUUAGGGGAGAAACAAGGUUGGUGUUGGUUGUUUGUUGUUUUGGGUUUUUGUGCUUGGAAGAGGAGUUGAAGAGGUGUACAGGACUUCCUGGUGUCACAGUCAUUCCUUUGAAUCUUCUGCCCAAAAAAAACCUGUCUCCUACUGGUAGUUUAGUUCUUCUGUAGCUUCUUUUGGAUACAGUCAAAAAAAAAAAACUUUAAAGAAGAUGAAGGUCCAGAUGGGGAGGAAAUUUUUCAAGAUGCAUGAGAUAAGAAAGCCAUUAUGAAAACAAUCAGCUUUACAAGGAGUGUCCUAAAAGUUGGCUUCUGCCAGGCCCAAUUGCACAAAUGUGAUGGUUUUACAGACAAUAUCAUUACUGAAACUACUAGAACCAGGUGAGUAGGUAAUGCAUAAAUGAAACAGCCUUGGGACCCUAUUGCCAUUCUGGGUGCCUAAGUUCUCAGUACUUGGGAAUCUACAGUUGCCUCUGCAAUGAGUCCUCCUCUACCAUGAGAAUGGCCAGGAAUGGUACAGGUCUUGAUGGCACAAAAAUGUUUGGUACUUCUGUCAUCCCUAAGCAUCUUUAGUACUUGUAAUACCAAAUACAGGUUACUCCUACUUGAAGGAUAUUUUCAAAUAGGUAUCUUAAUACAUUCAUGCUAAAACUGUACAGUUAUUUCACCUGAAAAACAGUGGACUGAGAAUUCAGAUCUAUUCUCUGGUACUGUGAAUCUGUGUUGCAGAGAGGUUUCUUAACUACUAGGCAAGAGGGUAUUCUGGGAUUCAAGUCUCACACCAUCAACAUUUUUCACUUUACCAGCAAAAACAUUAAUGCAGACAUGUAUUCAAAGUACCUGAGCUGUGAGAAAUUAUUUAAUAACUUCUGUUGCACAAGCAGCAAAAAAUAUUCCUAAACAAACAAAAUCUAGGCUGUGCCCUGAGAUGUGCUCUCAGUUUCACAGUAUCCUGGGGCAACAUGUUCUGCGGGUUCACUGUGUGCUGCACAUUCAUUAUUUAAGUAUAGCUGUGAUAUAUACGGUCCUUCUGUAAUAAGAUGAAAUGAGCAAAAGGAUCUUGAACCUUAUGCUCACAUUGACAGCCUCCUACACCCUGACAAUGCAUGGUAAUUAAGACUGAAGGUUUAAGCUUUUUCAUGGACUUGCAUAAGCAUUUUCCACUUUGUUUUCUAUUCCUUUAUUUAUAACUGCAAAGAUUCUCCUCAUUUCUCUACUGCUGUUGAGUACUCAGCUGACACUUUCAUUGAACUAGCCAUAAGAGCUACUAGAUCUUCUUGAGCAGUAGUAGCUGAUCUAGAAAUCAGAACUAAGUGAGAGCAGUUAGGGUUCCUUCCCCCAUGCACAUAACUUAGUAUUUGUCUUUCAUAAGCAGUCUUAUGGUGUACCAUGACGAUCAACCCUACAAAUUCUCUGGCAGAACUUCUGUAUCUAACACUAGCGUGUUUGGAAAAGAAAGAUUUUAUUACUACUUUUUUAUGUCUGUGGUGUGUUGUUCCUUAUGAUCUUUUUGGCCUGCUGUAAUAUGAGUUACCAUUUGAAAUGCUGAAGUUUAUGAUCUUUUCUAUUUUCCUCAUUGUUCCACAUAAGCUCCGCUGUUUGAGGGAUUUCUUUUUACCCCAAUUAGCUGUCUUUACUGUAUCAUAUAGUCAUGCUGCCUUUUUUGUGUGGUCCUUUAAUUCUUGGUUUCUGAGGGAUUUCUUUUGGAUACAUAAUAUAUGAUUAUUCUGAGACUUUAAUAACAUGUACAUACAUUAUAUCUGCAAUUUUUAUUUUUUUGGGUUGCUUCUUUUAAAUUCCGUUUUAACAAGAUUUCUCAUUUUUAUGUACUUCCCCUUUCUGAAGUUACAAUUUUGGCUUCUCACUCCUAUAGGAAUGUAGAUUUUAAGUGCUUUAUGGUCAGUCUUGAAGAGUGAAUGUUCAUUUUGAAGCAGGUCCCAUGCAUCAUUUAGGUCUAAAUAAAAAAAAAAAAAUUGCUUCUCCCCCUUAUGGAUUAGCCUGCCAUUUGUUCCAGGAAGCAGUCAUUUAUGGUAUCUUAAACUUUAGUCUUCUGCCACAGACCUAGCUGUGCAUUUAUCCUAUAAGUAUACCUGAAAUGUUUUUGAAGGGCUUUCUGAGGAAACAGUGUACAGUAAGUGUGGCUCAGUGAAGCCACAUGGAGAGUGCUGUAUGAAGUUUUCCCUUGUGCAUGUUCUGUCUUCAUCAGGCUGCUGCAGUAGCCAUAUUCCUUUCCAAAGACAUGGGCUUUCAAAACCCUUAUCACUUGAUUUCAGUAAAAUGGAAUAGUCCAGUAGCAAUAUGUGAAUUGCUGAAUUAACAACACUCGUAGGAGUCUUAGAAACCAAAGGUAAGCUCAGAUGUCUUGGCUCAAGCUGUUUGCUUGGUGUUAUCUAACUCUUUAACUCUGCUUUGGAACUUUCAGCUUCCUGUAAAUACAAUUAUAUAUGUGUAUAUAGAUUAUAAAAGUGUGCAUGUACUUAUAGGUGUGUGGUGUGUGUGUACAUAUAUAUCUAUACGUGUGUGUGUGUGUAUAUAUAUGUAUAUAUAAUAUAAUUUCAACACAAACUCUUCCUCCUAGUAACUCCUUUCUCCACAGCUCAGCUCCUGGAGACCCUAGGAAGGGUUUUUGGUGGAUGGCACAGCCAUUGGCCAACCUGCUCAGCUACAGCUGGGAGGUGAGGGACCACUGGUUUUGACGUCAAGUUGGCUAACCUUUAUGGUGCUGUGACUCAGCCAAUUGAAAACCAUCAAUGGCUUUGCCUAAAUUAAAAAGUAAACCAGAUAUUUUCUAUAUGUGUAGCUGGUCAACACAUCUGUACAGAUAAGAGCUCUUUUUUUCCCAGAAAAAUUAUACACCCAAAUUGCAUUUGAGGACUGGCCCUUAGCCGACAAGAUGCCCAAGGACCAGUUAUUUUUUGGCAGGAGCUCCUCCCUACUCAGUCAAUAUGUAGGUUCACUGGCAGAAGCUAGCCUUGAAACAUGUAACUUGCAAGGACUGAACGUGAGCAUGUGGUAGUUCUCUACUUGCAGUUUACACAGAAGUCUAUUCACUGUCCUGGCCUGUAAGCCAAUGGUUGGUGUCUGUUAACAAAUAAUGCCUGAGCCUCUGUGGGCUGUUUCACACGCUGUAUAUAUGCAAUCUGUGUAUGUAUGUACCUCAUGCACUGUUUCCUGAAUUAACCCACACUAUUCUCAGAUUUCCAGGACUUUGGAGGUGAGCCUAUGAAGUACUUGAGGUAAAGAGUUCCUUUACUACCUUAAAUGGAUGAAUGUUUUCCUAACAAACAUACUAAUCAAAAUCAAAAGAAUAGUGUGUUUUAUCUUCUCUUACACUAUUCUUAUACUAAAUUUAUGACUAUGAUAUUGUGGGAAAGAAUGUUUGUAUAACAUGAUAUAGAGCAGACAUCACACAAACUAGUCUAAGCAAAACCACAGUGAUAACGUAUUACUGUUAGCAUAAAUAAGUAGUGAUUAUUAAUUUUAGCCCUAAGCAGUCAAUAUGCAUGUUCUUUGAGUGUGCUUCACUGAGAGCAGUUUUUUGAUACACAAAAAUAUUAAAUUUGCGAAUUGUUUAGAAUUAUUGCUUAGAAACUACUGCCAAAUUGCAAUUAAGCAGUUGUAAGAACACGGCAUAUCCAACUGAGCACCUGCAAAACAACAACAAAAGAUGAAAGUUUUCUGUUUUGGAUAUGUUUGAAGCUGUAGGGGUACCAGUUCUGUAUAAACUCUCCUGUAUGAAAUGACUAUAAUGGAUAAUGCACUGCUUGAACAGAGCUUUUCUAAAACUUGUAUACUCCUAAGAGUAGAGAAUCAGACCUGGGGAUCUAACUUUUUUUUUCUAUAGCAGCCCCAAUCUAACUAGUGGUAUAGAACUGUGAGCUCAUGGUUUCUUAGCAGUGACUUUGGAUUUCUGUGCUGAAAUAAGCCUUGAAACAGGCUGUGUAAUUUUUUUUAAUGGGAAUUAUAGAUACUACAGGUCCAAGGGACAAUAGCUUCCAGCAUAGGCAUAAUUUGAAAACUGGUAGAUGAGUUUGUUUGGAAUUCAUAGUUUCAUUUCACUUGAUCUGCUCAUACAUACACACCAAAAUGUCUAGUGAAGUUUAGAGACUUAAACUGUACUAAAGAUAUAGAAAACUAUCUGAAAACUAUCAAAAUUAUAUAUAAUAAGCAGAGAAACAUUUUCUACUAUACCAUGUACCUUGGAACAAAGUAUUUAAAAAAACCAUAAAAAUAGAACUUCAGUGGGUUGCCAUGUAAAACAUAUUUAUCUGGUAUUCAUACUAUCACAUCCUAUUUAAAUGACUGUCAGGACUUAUAUAUGGGUGAAAUUAUUGGCAACUUGAUUGUUAUUUAACAACUGAGUGAGUCAUAACAAUCAAACUUUAUUAUUUUGUCACUUUAAAGCACAAAUCCUGCUUAUUACAAUUAAAAUGCAGAUAAUUUUCCUGAGGUAUGUGCCAACAUAUGGGUAUUAGUUACAUCCCAGUUGAUUCCUUCCGAGUUAGGAUUCCAUUAAGAGUGACACUUAGAUCUGAUGCUCAUGUUCACUUCCCAGUCACAGUCCUCAGUGUUCAGAUGAGAAUUAACACAGGCAGAAAAACUGACUAGCAAAAACAGUUGCCUGUGACUGUGCUUUACUUUCAGGUCAGCAUCCAACUCGCAGAUCCUCUUUGCUGCAUUUGUGCACUGAGAGGAAACUGGUCAUCAGGCUUAAAGUUUACCCUCACAGACAGAGGUCUGAACACCAGAAACAUGCAAGAAGCCAGUGGUAGGAGUCAGAAUGUGAGCACCCUGAAACACUGGAUCCUGCUCCUAGAUGGUCCACAAGUGAGCAGAGCAUCAGCACAUAUGGUUGGAGCACUUGCAUUUUCUUUAUGAAAACAGUGUGUUGUCCACUGACUUCUACACAUCCUUCAGUGGGAUUUUCAAGGGCUCUGAGGAGUGAGCAGGCUCCACAUCUCGCUAAUGUGAGCAGAAGAACAUGCCAGGAGACAUACAAGUGUCAUUCUUUGCACCAUCUUAACAUCUGCGGCACUCACUGAGCCAAGAGUUGUGUGCGUUGCAGCAGAAGACUGAAUUAUGGUCUGCCAGUGGUGCAGUAUCUCUGGCUUAGGCACACUCAGUUGCAAAAACUAGCAAUGUUCAAGCUGUUUGACUUUGGCAUAGCAUUAACAAAGAUAGAGAUGCCAAUAGCUGUAGAGAAAGGGGUGAGAAUUAUGAUUUAGGUCAGUAAAAUAAACACUGUUAUCGUGGCAGGCUAAUCUCAUCCAAGAAACUCUUUACUUGUUAUUUCCCUGGCUUUUUGUAACUAUCAGAAAAAAUGCCAGCAGUUCUGUCUACAGAGCUCACAGUCCACUUCUUUUCUGAAGUCACUCAGCAAAAGGAGAGAGAGGACAUUCCCUCACAUCAUUUGAAUAACUUUAUUUUUUCCAUCUGUAAUCUUUUCCUCUUCAGUAGAAAUGAGGGUGGUUCCAAUGCCUCCCUGAAGGUAUGGUAUCUUCUUGCGAAGCUCCCUGAGAACCAGGAACAAGGAGCUGUCACAGCAGCAAGGUUAGCAUCAGCACCAGAAUAGCAGAGCUGGGUCAUUAGAGAUCUGUGUAGAAAUCUGUAAUCCCUAAGGAGUACUGAGCAUCCUGAGCUUCUGAUUCACCCUUUGCAGGAUUAGUCUGAUAAUAUUUUUAAUGGGUAUCCAUUCUAUUGCAAUGUAUAGGAGUGCAGUGACCCUGAAAUGUCACCAUCUAACAUUACAUUAAUUCACUCCUAAUGAAACUAAAGAGGGCUUAGAGAGGUUUGUGACCAAAGGCUGUUCGCUAGAAUUGCACCUUUCAUUAACUGACUUUGGAAAGAUGAAAAAUGAACAUUCUGAAAUAUUUUGAUAUUGGAUACACUGACUUUUUUUUUUGAGGGCAGUAAAUCCCUCUGGUUCAGACCCUAAACAGGGGCUUCUGAUGAUUAGGGUAUAAAAUGAACUGUGAAAUCCUAUAUGCCUAAUAUCCCUUCCUAAUGCAAAUCAAAUUUGCUACUUUGCCAAGUAGUUUGAUCCUUCAGAGCAUGGAAACAAGGUAGUAUGCAAGCAAGAUCUUACAUUCAAAAGAUGAAAUGUUGGCAGUUCUUCAGAAUGACCCUUUAAUGCUGGACACCCAUGUAUAAAGAUGAAUAAUACAAAAUCAAAGCUUACAAUAGUCUCAUUGUGCUCAAAGGGCAAAAGGAAAAUGUAUCAGUCAUCAGGAUGUGCCAAAGAGUAGGACUAAGACGCACCUUUUAUUUUUGGACUGACUUUUAGAUACAAGUCUUGGCUAAAACUUGGACGUCCAAAUCUUGGAGUGAAGGAACUUAUCACAGAAAACUACCACCACAAUAUGCCAGGUAGUCUAUAACAGGAGCAGUCUCUAGGAGAUAAAAAACAUCUUUUUUUUUUUUGGAGAGGUACUGAAGUUCUACUUAUGGGCAUUUACAUAACUCAUGUACUCCCUAUGCGUAGUUAGUGAGUGGAACCAUCUUCCUGCAGCUCUACUCUACUACUUAGUUAUCUACAGGGGAAAGAAAAAAAGAAAAAAGCUCAGUACAGUAUGAAUUUAUUACUGAAUGUGUUUCUUAGCAUGUAAAAAAUAUUGAAUUAACAUUAAAACCCUUUUAUCCACUUUGUAAUAUUUGGAUGUAAAUUGUUACAAGUGCAUGAUAUGUUAAAUCCAUAAUUGUCAUAUUUUGCUGAAGACUGCAUAGAAUCAGUGAGGAUUUUCUUUUGUCUAAUAUUGGAGAGAUGGUUCAUGUUGGUGACAUGAAGAAAAUAUAAAAAAGCAGUUUAUCCAUGUAAACAUAUAGCCCUCAGACUCUUGCCAAUGACAGCAAGACCUAUUUUUAUCUGGUGAAUGAGUCUUGGUCCCAUAUGCUAAGAGUUGCUUAGGGAAGCUAUAUGUUACAUAUCUAACUUCUCCUAAUUAAAUUUAAAUGCUACCUGAAAUUUGAUGCAAAGUAAACCAUAAUUUAGUGAUUAAAACUUUGGUAUACUGACUAGUUAUGACAACCAGAAAGGACUGCUAAGAGAUUAGGAAAAAGGGGGAGGGGAUAGAGUUUAAUCAGAACAAACACUAGCAAGAAACACAAUUUUAAUGGUUUUACAAAAUCAAUUUUCCAGUAAUAGUGAUAUGUUAUUUCAAAAUUAUUUUAAAGGAUGGGAGAAAGUUUAACCAUGUGACUUUAUCUUUUUCAGUGGUCUUUCUUAUUUGAUAUUGCAGGGAUUGGAUUUCACUGGGACACAUCCCAUUUCCACUGUAAUUUGUAAACUAAUGUUUUGUUUCUUCAGAAGGUGUGUUCCCAAACAAGUGCUUGCCAUCGUUAAGAAGUUGCCUCUUGUCCAAUUGUUUUCCAAUUGUUUGAUGGUAUUAAUGGGAGCAAAAAGAACAUUCAAGAUACCUUCUUGGUAUUUCUCUGUAUUUGGGGUAGUUGCUAAGAGAAUGCCCUCACAGCUGAGAGAAAAACCUAUUUGCAUCCCAUUCUGAAUGGCAGGGUUGUAACUUGGAGAGGUGGCCCAGAGUUAGAAAAUACUCAUCAUGAUACUGCCCAUAUUCAUGAGCAGAGGUGAACAGCUACUUUUUAAGCACACCUAAAAAUAAACCUUGCUUUCUGACAAAGACAGUCAUUGAUUGCUCCGUGAGCUGAAAAGGGUUUUUUGAGUGACUCCUUGCUUCAUUUCUACUCGGCUGUAAAUUGGAUUUGCUCAUUGAUUUUCUUUUCUUUUUUGUUGUUUAUUUAUUUUGUGGGGUUUUUUUGGUUGUUUAGUUUUGUAAAGGGGAAGUAUGGGAGAAAAUGUAUGUUUGGCCUGUAUGUCUCAGCUGAUGUGUAAUCUCCUUUAGCUGUUUUUGCUGGGAUGGAGCUUUGGCACAAAGGGCGUAACCUCAUGGACUCUGCUUAUGCCUAGUCAUUCCAGGACCAGUUGACUGCCAGUUUUCCAGAAGAAAUGAGGAAAUAGUUGUCUAUAAAUACAUUCCUCCUUUAUUCUGUGAGUUAUUUACAAACCUGACUUAUUUUCUUAGGUAUUUCUGCAAAAAUAUGAGGCAACUCUCUGUCAGUAGGUUGUCUGUAAGUAAUCCACUGCUAGUGAUCCAAAAUUAAAAUUGACUAGGUAAGAGCAAUUCUCAGGAUAAUCUUUCUGAUAAAAAGUCCUUCAAGUUAGAAAUUUAGGAAACGAUCUCUGAUAAUAUCUUUCAAAAUUUGCUUAACAUAAGCAGAUUUUAUGAGCUGGCUUUUCUGAGAACACAAAUAGUUUGAACAGAAUCAUAGCAGAAGAGUUUAAAAUCAUGAGCAAGUAUUCAUAGAACACUUUUAUUUUUUCUUGGGGCAGUUGCCUGGUCUUGCUUUCCUAGGUGAUGGUUAACUGUCCAUCCUCACCAAGGAACAGUACUGGAAACCUGCUGAUUCUCUUUUCACAGUUCUUGGAUAUGCAAUUUCACACAUAGAAAAGAAAAAUUGUGUGAAAUGUUGUAACUGACAUUGUCAGUCAGCAGGAAACCUGAAAAGAGAUAUUGAGAUUGAGCUGUGAAAAGUGACAGUAGUGGAGCAGUACAUUUUUAUGUGAUAGAUAGAGCUGUAGGGCGCAGGUCAUUGCAGCUUGCAAGGGGCAAUCUUUGUGUUACUGAUAUCCCCAAGGCUGCAAAGGCUGAGUGCCAUGCUUGGAGAGCUGACGGGCAAUUUGCUAAUAUAGCAAUCUGAACACAAGAAGAACCAGCAUAAAUGUGAGGGGCAAAAAACCACACAGAGUAUAUGUAUUAUACAGAUGUAUUGUACCCUUUUUUGCUUAUUCAAGUAGCAUACAGUGGAUAUUUGGAAAAAAAAAAAAUGUUGUAACAAAUCUAGGAAGUCACAAAGAUUUUUAAAUUGGAAAGUUUUACUUCUGAAAACUAACACUGUCUUAUGUUAAAUCACUCUUGUUUGAUCAAUAGCACUGCACAAAUUCUACAUCUGCAUACUUUCUCAGGUUUUUUGCAUGCACUAGACAGUAACCCUUAAAAACUGAAAGGGCUAGAAAGUACCUUCUCCCAAGUACCUUCCCAUUUCAGGAGCAGCACUUAGAGAGCUUUUUGUUUCCUUUGUUGUUCUGUAGCUUUCUAAGUCUGAAUAUGAGGUGUACCUUUCCUAAAUAUUUUUCGCUGAAUGUGUGACUCAAAGUUUGUAUAAAAAGAAAAUCGUAAUAAUAGUAACAGUGAAUAAGAAAUAAAAUCAUGUUCAGCUUUAAUGUGCAAUUCAAAUGAAAUCAUGUUGAUUUUGUUUGAUUUCUCUUUGCAUCUUUUCAUGUUUGAAAAGAUGUUCAUGUUUCACAUUUGAUAUAUGUCCCAUUUUGUCACCAUUAGAAUAAAAUAUUUUGAUUUUUUUCCUUUUCAAAUUAUUUUUCAUUUUGAAUAUUUUGAACUCUAGUAUGUAAUAGAUGAUUACAUUGCAAACACAUUAUGUUGCACUUAAAACUCGAGUCAGUGUGCAGUAUUCCUGCCAUUUUCCUUUACAAAGAAUUUAGAUAUUUUCUGAUUGGAAAUGAAGACAAAUUUGGAAACUUCAGGAACAGUUGGGGAAGGAAAAAAAAAAUUGUCUGUUUUACUGUCCAGACUUGUCUGGACCACUUCCACAGAUGGUGAUGCCAAGUGGUUCAUCAACCUCUUGCUCUGAAAGUAUUGUUUCUACACUGCACUUCAGUCUAUGACUUAUGUUAUUCCUGGCAUUAUGCACUUCAAUUUCUCCCAUGCUGAAUCUUUUAUAUUAGUAUAGAAUUAAGAUAAUAAGAAUAAUUGCUCCUUUUUAAUAACACUUCAUGUGUUUAUGAACAGUCAUACGCACAAGGAUUAUUUUCCAAAUCAUUGCUCAUUUUUGUUGUUCUCUUCUGAGUUCUUCAAUUAGUAUGUAUUUCUUUUUUUACUGUGGUGUUUGUAACAGCAUGCAGUGCUCCAACUGAGGCUUAUCAAGUGAAGUAGAGCAGAAUAAUUACUUCAUUUCUUUUAUGCGUGACAUUCUUAUUAAUGUGACUCAAUACAGAGCAUUUGCCUUGUUUUGCCACAGUGUUGCAUUGUUGAUUCGUAUUCAAAUAAUUAGUCACUGUAAAUCCACAUGCUGCUCUGCUGUGUAACUCUGUGCUCUAGGAUGGGCUAUCCCACAGCUGUCAACAGGAGCACCCAGGAGCUGCAGUGAGGGUGUUGGACACUGUACAAAAGAGGAGCAGGUAAAUGACUUUUCUUAACCAGACUGCUAAGCUCCAUACUCAUUUGUGAUUACUGGUUUACAGUAUUAUAAGUAUAUUCCAGUUGUAAGUGAUUUCAGACUGCUGUCUCCAGUGUAUAAUACCUCAUCAUUUGUCAUGUUCCUUUUUCAAAAAUGAGGAUUCGCCCAUUCUUUCCACUUACAUAUUCUCCAGAAGAUGUAGUAACUUUUUUUAUAGUGAAAACUACUUGUUUUUCUAAAAAUCUUUCUGAUAACUUCAGUGAGAUCUGUACACCUGGGGUUGUUUUGCUAUUUAAAGAUACUCAGAAAUAGAUCAGACUUACUUCCCCCCCCCCCCCCCCCAAAAAAAAAAAAAUUGUCUAAAAAUUGAAUCUGUGAGUAGCAUAUCAAAUUUGGAUGCUUAUACCUAAAGGAUCUCCAUUUCUUCCUGCCUUCUCUUCUGAGAAGAGUUGAAGUACUUACAGUGCUGUUUGAACCCAGGACAUAGAGCUUGGAAAAAAAAUGCAAGCCAUUGUGUCAUAGAAUUUUUAUCUGGCAAUAUUACAAGCCAGAAUUUUCAAGCUGAUUUGAAGAAAAACAAGGUGAAAAGUCUAUUGGGUCACACUUGAAAAUGUUAAGUAUUUUAGAGUCGUUUCAAAAUCCUGGAAAUUAAGUACUUCACAUCUACAAAGUUAACUGGUUUACUAAGUAUAAUGUCAUUUAUACAGUUUGCAAAGUCUGAAUACACAUACAAUAGUAAGAAAACUGUACCAAAACCAUGUUAAGAGAAUUUGAUGUGUGGCAGAUUUGAGUUAGUAGGUACAAUGUGUUCUAUGAUUGGAAAGAAAAAUGGCAGACACACUUUCAAUGUGUUAGAAAGUAGAUGAAGACUCCUCUGAGACCAUGAAUCCCAAUGGAAACACUGCUGAUCUAAAGAUCAUAGAAAGAUAGAACCAGGUCACAUGCUGAUGCAAAUGAGCAUAGUUUUCUUGACAUUGGUGGACCUACAGUGAUUGAUUCCAGAUGAAGUGAUGAGAUGAUUCGGAUGUGCUAUGCCCUCCUGAAAGGCUGUUGAGAGAUGCUGAGAUCAGUGCUGGGAUUGCCUCACCAGAGGAAAAUACGCAGAGUAACAAUCUCUCCUUUAAAAAAAUGUGAGAAGGAAGAAAGUAAUAGUAUCUCUCCCAGUGUUGAUGGAAAAAGUAGGCUUUGGUGGAAAGAAAAAUAGUUCAGUAGUCAAGAUUUUGGAAGGAAGGCAGUAAAGACUUUUCCUAAGGAAAAGAGAGCACCAGAAAGCUUUAGAGGUUCCCUGUUCUCACCAUCUUCAGAACAGCUCUGUGUGUAUUUACCCUUACUCUUCUUUAGGUGGUCACUGAGGUUUGACUCAUUGAGUACUCCAGUGUGUUUGCCUGGAAGCAGGAGAAAGAUGGAGAAUCUAAAGGCAUCCUGGUUACAGCAGCAGCAUGACUGAAUCAGCUUUAAUGACUGGCUGAAGCUAGCACUGUAUCUAUGCAUCCAGCGUGGGCUGCAACACAGAGUGACAAUUCAGGCAGAAGCUGGUUUGGGCUGAGUUUUAUGGUGUUGUGGCUAGCAAAGUAGCUAAGCUAGCUCACCAAUGCUCUCCCAAGUUAUUUUUUGUCUUAACAAUACAGGUAGGCCCAAGCAUGAUACCCUUCAGUGGUUCAAGAACUAUCUAAAAUAUUUAAACAUUUUGAGAUGUUCUUCUUCUGGAUGUGAAAGUAAAAAGAAGACUUUGGCUCUGGAAGCCUUGCAACAUUUGAAGUAAAUCACUCCUUAUGGCAGUAUCAAAAUCCGAAGAUGCAGGGAUUUUGAAGACUUAUCUAUGGAUUCAAUAAAAUCUAAAAGCAGAUGUUUAGUAACGUGAGUAUUUUUCCUAGAUCAUCAGUAGCAGUAUUUAGAGGCAUUGCAGAGCUUUGACCAUUGAAUUCAUCAUAGCGAGCUGCAACCUGCUGUAAGUACUGCUCUUGCAUUUGUCUAUCAAAAGAGAAAAUAUAAGACUAUUUUCAUUUCAUACAAGACUAUUAAUAUUGAAACCACUGACGAGUAGACUACUCAAUUAAGGAUAUAUUAACUAGGUUACUUUAUCUCACUCUUAUUUUCAAGAGUCAACAAUCCAAGUACAAGGAGACUAAUGACUAAAGAUUCAGCCUCUUCUGAACAACUGAUGGAGUUCUGUUCCUGAGCUACCUCCUCCUCGAUUCAUUCAGCAUGAAUGGCAGAUUCCUAUAUCGUGUCAAGUUUCAGAUCACCAUAGAAACAAACUAGGAGGCAGUUUCAUUAAUCAUUUAGAGCACAAGAAGUCUAGGUCAGUCUGAUUGCAGCAUAUAGAGUAUCAUCCUAGCGCCACAUGGGACUCAGUUGAUUUGAAUUAAAAAAGAUUAAGCUGCCCCUAGGACGCUCAGCAUCAUCAGUUUAAGUUCUCAUGUAACAGUGGUCUCUGGAGCCACAUGGAUUAGGAGACUGAAGCUAUGCAUUUAUUUUUCAGGGCUCAGUGAAACAUUAGAUGAGUGCAGGUGUCUGAGGGGAAAAAAGGACAAAGAUCACAUAUAGUUUUUUAGACUUGUUGCUGUUCUUUUGAAACUGGAAACAAUAACUCAGUUUUAUUUCUCCAGUGACAGUUACCACUCUUUUUUGGCAAUGCAGUGGUACAUCUGUUACCCAAUGUUUACAACUUAGAUUUAUAACAAUUUCAUACUAGGCACCCUAAUUUUAGUGCAGAGCUGCAAGUUGGGCAUAGAACAGUUUACAUGAAUGCUGACUAUUUUUUUCAUGAUGGAGUAAAAAAUGCACAAAAUAAAUACUGGUGACACUUUAGUUUUACUUGAAUGAAGAUUUAUUGCUCCCAGGAAACUUACUUACAGGCAGCUACAAAUCAACUUGACUAUGAAAUAGCUGUAUAUGUACACCACAAAAUGAGCCCCCCCUCCCAAAGUACUCACCUUAUUUAUGGGUCUUUCCAGUACUUCAAAGACCUUUAGUAACUUAGUCCAGACUGGUUUAUUGCUUCAUAGAACUAAGACGUUUCAAGAGGAAAGUCGUAGGUUACAGUGUAUUAGGACUCUCUCUUGGGCGGCUGAGAAUCCCAUGAUGCUAUAUGAACUGUUGAUCUAAAGCUUAUUAUAGCCUCACUUCCUACAGUAUAAUUCUUAAAUCUUUUAAGUUAUACAGUGCUGUCUUUAAUCCUGAGCACUAAACCUUAAAGCAGAACUAGUUUUCUAAUAACCAGAGUACCAUCUGUGAGUAGAUAUAAUUAUGCUUUGUAAAAAUACAGUUCACUUGCUUGCACAGGUGGUCCACGACCUAUUUCAAAUUAUUUGAAUUUUCAACAAAUGUUUUACAUAGAAAAAUCUGGGAGCAAAAUCCACUGUCCCAGUGUUCUUUGUGGAGGAAAAAAAUGUAUGUGGGUAGAUGUAUUCCACUUUACUCAAGAACCAGAACACCUCACCCUUUGUGUUUUUCCAAUUUGCCCUUUCUGUGGGAAGUGGUUUUUAUCUGGGCUUUGAUAGUAUCAGUGUAUCAGUGGUGAAGUCUCCCGUUAUGUAACACAUCUAUGGACAUGGAAAUAUAGUAAAUACUUUUUUUUUCCCCCCCUGAUAUGUUGUCAUUUUUAAAUGUGUUAUUCUAGGGAUUUCCGGGGAAGAAAUAACAUUAUGCUCUGGAAGUAUUUUUAGAUUUUUCUAGCACUGUGCAAACUGACUGAUUAUUCCCCUGGGAAGGGGAAAGUGAGUAUUAUCCCCACUUUGCACGAGCGGAAAUUGAUAUGGAGUCACACUAAGCAACUUGCCUCAGGCCAUGAAGGUAAACAGGGACCAACACUGUGGUGCUCCCAUUCUCCUGCCCCGUGCCCUGCCCAGGCCCUGCUAUUUACAGCUUGCUGUCAAAUGCCCUUAAGGAAAUGCAGAAUAUAGGAAUUAAAGCAAACACAUAAAGCCCUGACGGGAGGCAGAAAAUGUUGUGUUAUCUAAUAUUUAUUGAGUGUCAGCAUUAUGCUGGUUGCUACACAAACAUAAAAGAAAGCGUGGUCCCUAUGCCAGAAUGUAUGUACGUUCUACUUUGUGUUGUCACCCAGAUGUUUCCAACCAGGCUGCCUAGCUUUGCUGUCCCUUUCUGGUGCGUGAGAGAGCUGAACUCACUAGUGCCAGGGGGAUAGCUGUGGCAGACAACCGGCAAUGGUGAGGGGGUCCAGGCUGUGCAUUUGCUGAGUUCCUGCAAACCACCUGGGUGAGUGACUGUCACCACACCCACAGGGAAAUGGUCUUUGUAAAAAGAGCCAUGGGGCUGAAAAGCAGGGAAUGACUUCUUUCAGCUGAAUACACGUCCUCACCCUCCUGGGGAGCAUGGGCAGACCUGUGAAGCCCCAUUUUUCUCCCAGGCUCUUUCCACCUGGAGGAGGAUGCAGUGAGUCUGCAAUGAUACACAAGUCCAUGUGGGAUCCCUGAUCUCUUCUGCUGCUCAAAGCCACAAGGGAGGAGAUAUCUUCUGCGUAGCCUGUUUCCAACAGCUGUGGCAACAGUGGUGAGUUCAAACAAUUCCCACACAGUGAAAAUGCAGCUGGAGGUAACAGCUUCUCUGCUGAGGGCACAGAAGACACAAGCACUCCGGUCACUUAAAGACUUUCAGAGGGGCCAAAGUAACCUCAGCGCUUACUGUCUGAUCUAUGCCAACUGUGUUGCAAAGAUUCCCAUCCUAACAUUAACCAGCUCACUGUGAAGUCAUGCACAGUGCAGAAAGGCAGGGAUAUUGGAGGUCAGUUCAGCACCGUGGUGAAGCAGCACUCCUGCUCCUGGUGCUGGUGCUAAUGCAUGUGGGUCACCAGGGCUAUCUCUGCACUGCUGCCAGGGUUAAGCCAGUUCAUGGUUCUCUGCACCUGUGGAGUAAACCUUUUUUUUUUUCUGAAAACUCCUUUUUUGCCUUUCUCAGACAGUGAGCAUGGAAGAACUGAGACAGUAUGGGAGCAGCUGCAAAGGGUAUCCAAGCUCAGCUAGGAGAAGCCUCUGAAACAAGAACCAUCUGACCAGUGUUCAGAAGAAGUGAUGGUGGAGUAGAGGCCCUCAGCACUUCAUUAACUUGCAUCAUCCCUUCCCUCAGCUGCCCACUUGUGUGUUCAGCUGUUUAAACUAGGGAUAGGCAGCAGGAGCUUGGAGGGCUUCUUCCAUGGGACUGGGAUAUGUCAUGCUCUGUGAUGAAUCUGCUUAAAACAUGAUUGUGCAACAUGGCUCUAGUUGCACCUCAAGUCGUGAUGCUGUUAACAUAAGAAAAGAAAAACAAAAGCUUAGCAGUUAAAAAAAAAUAGGCUUCAAACCCUGCUAUGUAACCGUGAUAAAUAUAUCGUUAUUCAAUGGAGGUACUGUGGACGAGGUAAAUUAAGGUGCCUUAAUCAUGUUUUUCUAUGACUUAACUUGUGUCUUUUUUUUUUUUUUUCAAUGUUUGUUUUGAGGAUAAUUGCAGCCCCUUUGGCACAUUUGUACCCCUGACUUACUGAUAAAUAUUCUUAAGCCAGAAGAGCAGAGCUUAGCUCAGGAAAUACUUGGUGAUACUGCUUGUUAGAGGGGGUUUCAAGCAAAAGCAAUCUUGUUGAUUCAUACAGGUUUGAAAUCUUUACAGAAAUAGAUGCUUUAUUAAUGAAAACUACACAACCCAUAGCCAAGUGAAUAAUAAACUGUCAGUAAAUUAUCCCUGGAAGAUGCAAGGGAAAAAAUGCUGUUGUGUUAUUGCAAGGGUGCACUAAGGACACUGUUCACUGCAGGGGAGUUUUACUAGAUGACUUUUAAUGGUGCUUCCAACUCAAACAGUUCUGUGAUUCUAAGAUUCUAUAAGUGUAUUGCUAUCACAUACUUUUGAAUGCUAUAGAUGCAACCCAGAUCAUGGAUGGGUGCUGAAGGCACACCACUACCCCUGCUGGGAUUCUGCAGCUUCUCAUAUUCCACCACAGUAAGACAGAUUUCUUCUCUUCAUGACAGACUGAGGUUGUGAAGAGUGCAGCACAAGACUAUUGCUUCGUUUCUACAAGCUUCAGUCGGUUGCAAUAAAAAUGUCAAAUAGCCUAAUUUUGUGUGAUUAAGUGAAGACUGGCACUAAAACAAAUUAUUUGUUGAAGGUCUGUGAUUUCGAGUAACUAACCACUGUUAUGCACAGUGUUAACUGCAAUGUGUAUAUAACUACUUAGAAACAUUUCUGUAUUAGCAUGCAACUGCACAAGCUAAAUACCUAUUAGCUACAUUUAUGAACUUUUGACACCAUUGUAUGCCAAAUUAUUUUAAUCUUUUAAACCACCACAGCAUAGACAAACAUUGGAAUGGUUUGGCAUUUUUCUAUUACUUAAUUCUGAGAGAUUUCAGAGAUCAUCCAAGGCGUUGGUUUGAGUUUUCGGAGAUGAAUCAUGUGCAAAUGUAAGGGCAGGAAUACAGAUAGUUACUCCAUGCCUGGAAAGAACAAAAAUUUCCUUCUCACACCCCAACAGACUUAAAUCCAGCAGAACCUGCUAGUAAGAAAAGUCUAUGGAUGCAGUUGUCCAGACUGCAUGCCUCUGGUCUGAGGGCCCAGGGCAUUCCCUUCAGUAGGACCAGGAUUUGUCCUUAGGCCUGCUGCCAGCAAAUCUGGAUGUUGUUUUAUAGCUAUAUGAUGUUUCCACCUAGACGACACUGUUCAUUGACCACCGAUGCUUUCAGAGUAUGUGUGCAUAGACGUGUGCAUGAGAAAGACUGGCAAUCUAAAAACUGGCAUAAAGAAGUCAGGCAGAUGGAAAGACUGGAACUAAAUAUCGGUUAUCAUUUUUUAUUAUUGUUAGCCGAGUGUGAUGCAAGUUUGUGCAGCAGAUGCAAGAUGAAAGGAUCCUCCAGUGUUAACUAUCUCCAGAACCCCAGCAGAAGGAUCUUUGCUACUGUUGUGUUUCUGUACAAACAGUAUUCCUAACAUGGUUUGCACUGUAGUUCACAAGCUUUGCUAGCACCUUGAAACAUUAUUUGUAUGAGAAAUGCCAGACCAGGCAAUGUGGUGAUAUAAUACACUAAUAAAGCAAAUUCUGCACAAUGUUCAAUAGGAAAGAAUUUUUAUUUUAUGAAGAAUUUUUAUUUAAUGUAUUUUUCUUAAAAGCAAAGACGCUAUAUCACCCAUAAUAAAUCAUUCUUGGAGCUCAUUAAUGACUUUGUUAUCCAUUUCUACCCUCUCUGUUUCUAAAUUAUGGAAACAAGUUUUGGAGUGCAGUUGGAAGCAACUUAAUGCUCCAGCAUUCUGCUGUGAAUGCAGAGCAUUUUGUUAAACCUCUUGCACUAUUUCCAGAAAAGCUAGAAAUACUUUAAUGACAAUAGAAUACAAGAGGCUGUCUUUUUCUAUAAAAUAUAUGCGUACACACACAUUUUCCUUCCUGAUUUUCUUUGCAUGUGUCAAGUUAGGCAGGAAAUCUAUAGCACUUUGUAGUUGCUGAUGUAGAAAUGACUGCCAAAUGAAUGGUUUAUACUGGAAUAUCUCGUUAUUUAUAUAAGUAUGUUAAAGUAUGGACAUUUAAUUUAGUUCUCAUUCCAAACCCAUGACAAGUCACUUUGACACCUCAAAGAAACAUUUCACAUAUGGUAAGAUGCAGUGUUCUAAACUGUAAAAGGGAAAAAAAUAUGUAUGAAUCAAAUUAAAUAAGAGAUUUUUAAACAAUCAAAGGAAAUACUUCUAUUUUGUAAUGAUACAUUUCAGCCAUUUGCUCUCUAAUAAUUUUAAUGAUGGAUGACUAUUUCUGGGGAAAAAAAGAAGAUUUGGGUUUUGGCUCUUUUCACUAUCAAAUCCUAGGGCAACAUUUUGCAUGCAUUAAUCUAAAUGUCUUAUUGGAUAUGAAGAGUGAAAACCUUCGCAGGAAGCUCUGAUAUGUUGUGGGGCUGUUACAGAGCUGAAUGUAAGGCAAUCCAGGCACUAAGCGCAGGUAUUGAAACAGUGAGGUAGGGAUUUGGUACUACACCUACACUCCCUGUACCUGUCUCUUACCAUUCUG